rnacentral:rRNA from 1 species
AUUGAACGCUGGCGGCAUGCCUUACACAUGCAAGUCGAACGGCAGCGGGGGAGAAGCUUGCUUUUCCUGCCGGCGAGUGGCGAACGGGUGAGUAAUACAUCGGAACGUGCCCUGUAGUGGGGGAUAACUAGUCGAAAGAUUAGCUAAUACCGCAUACGACCUGAGGGUGAAAGUGGGGGACCGCAAGGCCUCAUGCUAUAGGAGCGGCCGAUGUCUGAUUAGCUAGUUGGUGGGGUAAAGGCCUACCAAGGCGACGAUCAGUAGCUGGUCUGAGAGGACGAUCAGCCACACUGGGACUGAGACACGGCCCAGACUCCUACGGGAGGCAGCAGUGGGGAAUUUUGGACAAUGGGCGAAAGCCUGAUCCAGCAAUGCCGCGUAUGUGAAGAAGGCCUUCGGGUUGUAAAGCACUUUUGUCCGGAAAGAAAUGGCUCUGGUUAAUACCCGGGGUCGAUGACGGUACCGGAAGAAUAAGGACCGGCUAACUACGUGCCAGCAGCCGCAGUAA